CCGCGUCCCGACGCACUCCCCCGGCGCCGGGACUUUCCCCGAGCCGGGCUUCGGCGCCCAUCCCCCCUGGGUGCCGGGGCCCGGCUCCACC
rnacentral:ncRNA from 1 species